rnacentral:rRNA from 1 species
GACGGAGGGUGCAAGCGUUGCUCGGAAUUACUGGGCGUAAAGCGUGCGUAGGUGGUUCGUUAAGUCCGUUGUGAAAGCCCCGAGCUCAACUUGGGAAUUGCAGUGGAUACUGGCGAGCUGGAGUGCGGUAGAGGAAGGUGGAAUUCCCGGUGUAGCGGUGAAAUGCGUAGAGAUCGGGAGGAACACCAGUGGCGAAGGCGGCCUUCUGGACCAGCACUGACACUCAAGCACGAAAGCGUGGGGAGCAAACAGG